rnacentral:sRNA from 1 species
AUCGACAAAAUAUUAAAUGCAAAAAAUAAACAAAAAUUCACCUCUGAUAAAUUUAAAAUUGGUGAAUUAGAAUUCUGUCUCGAACUUUAUCCCAAU